AAUCAACGCUGGCGGCGUGCCUAACACAUGCAAGUCGAACGAGAAAGUGGAGCAAUCCAUGAGUAGAGUGGCGCACGGGUGAGUAACACGUGACUAACCUACCCUUGAGUGGGGGAUAACCUAGGGAAACCUGGGCUAAUACCGCAUAAUACCUACGGGUCAAAGGGGCAAUUCGCUUUAGGAGGGGGUCGCGGCAGAUUAGUUAGUUGGCGGGGUAAUGGCCCACCAAGACGAUGACUGUAUCCGGCCUGAGAGGCGCACGGACACACUGGAACUGAAACACGGUCCAGACUCCUACGGGAGGCAGCAGUGGGGAAUUUUGCGCAAGUGGGGGAAACCCUGACGCAGCAACGCCGCGUGGAGGAU
rnacentral:rRNA from 1 species